GAUGAACGCUGGCGGCGUGCCUAAUACAUGCAAGUCGAGCGAACGGACGAGAAGCUUGCUUCUCUGAUGUUAGCGGCGGACGGGUGAGUAACACGUGGAUAACCUACCUAUAAGACUGGGAUAACUUCGGGAAACCGUAGCUAAUACCGGAUAAUAUUUUGAACCGCAUGGUUCAAAAGUGAAAGACGGUCUUGCUGUCACUUAUAGAUGGAUCCGCGCUGCAUUAGCUAGUUGGUAAGGUAACGGCUUACCAAGGCAACGAUGCAUAGCCGACCUGAGAGGGUGAUCGGCCACACUGGAACUGAGACACGGUCCAGACUCCUACGGGAGGCGGCAGUAGGGAAUCUUCCGCAAUGGGCGAAAGCCUGACGGAGCAACGCCGCGUGAGUGAUGAAGGUCUUCGGAUCGUAAAACUCUGUUAUUAGGGAAGAACAUAUGUGUAAGUAACUGUGCACAUCCUGACGGUACCUAAUCAGAAAGCCACGGCUAACUACGUG
rnacentral:rRNA from 1 species